GACGAACGCUGGCGGCGUGCUUAACACAUGCAAGUCGAACGGAAAGGCCCUGCUUUUGUGGGGUGCUCGAGUGGCGAACGGGUGAGUAACACGUGAGUAACCUGCCCUUGACUUUGGGAUAACUUCAGGAAACUGGGGCUAAUACCGGAUAGGAGCUCCUGCUGCAUGGUGGGGGUUGGAAAGUUUCGGCGGUUGGGGCUGGACUCGCGGCUUAUCAGCUUGUUGGUGGGGUAGUGGCUUACCAAGGCUUUGACGGGUAGCCGGCCUGGGAGGGUGACCGGCCACAUUGGGCCUGAGAUACGGCCCAGACUCCUACGGGAGGCAGCAGUGGGGAAUAUUGCACAAUGGGCGGAAGCCUGAUGCAGCAACGCCGCGUGCGGGAUGACGGCCUUCGGGUUGUAAACCGCUUUCGCCUGUGACGAAGCGUGAGUGACGGUAAUGGGUAAAGAAGCACCGGCUAACUACGUG
rnacentral:rRNA from 1 species